rnacentral:sRNA from 1 species
AUUUCUCUGAGAUGUUUGCAAGCGGGCCAGUCCCCUGAGCCGAUAUUUCAUACCACAAGAAUGUGGCGCUCCACGGUUGGUGAGCAUGCUCGGCCCGUCCGAGAAGCCUUAAAACUGUGACGAC